UUAGUAGAUUAAUUUAAAAUAUUAUUUAUAAUUAGUUUAUAAAAAAAAGUUAAAUAAAUUAAAUUAUA
rnacentral:tRNA from 1 species